rnacentral:rRNA from 1 species
UGGGGAAUAUUGGACAAUGGGGGAAACCCUGAUCCAGCGAUGCCGCGUGAGUGAAGAAGGCCUUAGGGUUGUAAAGCUCUUUCAGAGGGGACGAUAAUGACGGUACCCUCAGAAGAAGCACCGGCUAACUUCGUGCCAGCAGCCGCGGUAAUACGAAGGGUGCAAGCGUUGUUCGGAAUUACUGGGCGUAAAGCGCGCGUAGGCGGUUUGUUAAGUCAGACGUGAAAGCCCUGGGCUCAACCUAGGAAUUGCGUUUGAAACUGGCAGGCUAGAGAUUCAGAGAGGUGAGUGGAAUUCCUAGUGUAGAGGUGAAAUUCGUAGAUAUUAGGAGGAACAUCAGUGGCGAAGGCGGCUCACUGGCUGAAUACUGACGCUAAGGCGCGAAAGCGUGGGGAGCAAACAGG